rnacentral:snRNA from 1 species
GGUUGUUAGGGUGAUCUGGCAUGAUAAACCAGGGGUGAUUCAGCCAGUUCAGUCAGUUAGGCAGAAGUCCCCUUCUUUCCUUACAGCUUUAUAUGUCUUCCUCCUGAAACUGAGGAUUCAUUAACAAGGGCAAGCAUCCUCAAAAGAGGUGGACUAUUCUUCCGAGAAAGGUAUAUAAGUAGUAGCACUUCCUGUGAGACCCUCCAAACAAACUUGCAAAAAAUUGGCAUCAUUAGAAUGUAAAUACUCGACACCUUCCAACGAUGUGGUGCAAUUCUGUU